GACGAACGCUGGCGGCGUGCUUAACACAUGCAAGUCGAACGGAAAGGCCUAGCUUGCUAGGUACUCGAGUGGCGAACGGGUGAGUAACACGUGGGUGAUCUGCCUCGUACUUCGGGAUAAGCCUGGGAAACUGGGUCUAAUACUGGAUAGGACCAUGCUUUAGUGUGUGUGGUGGAAAGUUUUUUCGGUACGAGAUGAGCCCGCGGCCUAUCAGCUUGUUGGUGGGGUAAUGGCCUACCAAGGCGUCGACGGGUAGCCGGCCUGAGAGGGUGGACGGCCACAUUGGGACUGAGAUACGGCCCAGACUCCUACGGGAGGCAGCAGUGGGGAAUAUUGCACAAUGGGCGCAAGCCUGAUGCAGCGACGCCGCGUGGGGGAUGACGGCCUUCGGGUUGUAAACCUCUUUCGCUAGGGACGAAGCUUUUGUGACGGUACCUAGAUAAGAAGCACCGGCUAACUACGUGCCAGCAGCCGCGGUAAUACGUAGGGUGCGAGCGUUGUCCGGAAUUACUGGGCGUAAAGAGCUCGUAGGUGGUUUGUCGCGUCGUCUGUGAAAUUCCGGGGCUUAACUUCGGGCGUGCAGGCGAUACGGGCAUAACUUGAGUGCUGUAGGGGAGACUGGAAUUCCUGGUGUAGCGGUGGAAUGCGCAGAUAUCAGGAGGAACACCGAUGGCGAAGGCAGGUCUCUGGGCAGUAACUGACGCUGAGGAGCGAAAGCAUGGGGAGCGAACAGGAUUAGAUACCCUGGUAGUCCAUGCCGUAAACGGUGGGCGCUAGGUGUGAGGGUCUUCCACGACUUUCGUGCCGUAGCUAACGCAUUAAGCGCCCCGCCUGGGGAGUACGGCCGCAAGGCUAAAACUCAAAGGAAUUGACGGGGGCCCGCACAAGCGGCGGAGCAUGUGGAUUAAUUCGAUGCAACGCGAAGAACCUUACCUGGGCUUGACAUAUGCAGGAUCGGCGUAGUGAUACGUUUUCCCUUGUGGUCUGUAUACAGGUGGUGCAUGGUUGUCGUCAGCUCGUGUCGUGAGAUGUUGGGUUAAGUCCCGCAACGAGCGCAACCCUUGUCUUAUGUUGCCAGCACGUGAUGGUGGGGACUCAUGAGAGACUGCCGGGGUUAACUCGGAGGAAGGUGGGGAUGACGUCAAAUCAUCAUGCCCCUUAUGUCCAGGGCUUCACACAUGCUACAAUGGUCGGUACAACGCGCUGCGAGCCUGUGAGGGUGAGCGAAUCGCUGAAAGCCGGCCUCAGUUCGGAUUGGGGUCUGCAACUCGACCCCAUGAAGUCGGAGUCGCUAGUAAUCGCAGAUCAGCAACGCUGCGGUGAAUACGUUCCCGGGCCUUGUACACACCGCCCGUCACGUCAUGAAAGUUGGUAACACCCGAAGCCAGUGGCCUAACCCUUGUGGGGGGAGCUGUCGAAGGUGGGAUCGGCGAUUGGGACG
rnacentral:rRNA from 1 species